GAUGAACGCUAGCGGCAGGCCUAACACAUGCAAGUCGAGGGGUAGAGUGCUUCGGCACUUGAGACCGGCGCACGGGUGCGUAACACGUGUACAAUCUACCUUUUGCUAAGGGAUAGCCCGAAGAAAUUUGGAUUAAUACCUUAUAGUAUUGUUUGGUGGCAUCACUGAAUAAUUAAAGCUCUGGUGGCAAAAGAUGAGUACGCGUCCCAUUAGCUAGUUGGUGUGGUAACGGCAUACCAAGGCUACGAUGGGUAGGGGUCCUGAGAGGGAGGUCCCCCACACUGGUACUGAGACACGGACCAGACUCCUACGGGAGGCAGCAGUGAGGAAUAUUGGACAAUGGUCGGAAGACUGAUCCAGCCAUGCCGCGUGCAGGAUGACGGCCUUAUGGGUUGUAAACUGCUUUUAUACAGGAAGAAUAAGGUCUACGAGUAGAUUGAUGACGGUACUGUAUGAAUAAGCAUCGGCUAACUCCGUGCCAGCAGCCGCGGUAAUACGGAGGAUGCGAGCGUUAUCCGGAAUCAUUGGGUUUAAAGGGUCCGUAGGCGGGCUUAUAAGUCAGAGGUGAAAGCACUGAGCUCAACUGAGUAACUGCCUUUGAAACUGUAGGUCUUGAAUGUUUGUGAAGUAGCUGGAAUGUGUAGUGUAGCGGUGAAAUGCAUAGAUAUUACACAGAACACCGAUUGCGAAGGCAUGUUACUAACAAAUUAUUGACGCUGAUGGACGAAAGCGUGGGGAGCGAACAGGAUUAGAUACCCUGGUAGUCCACGCUGUAAACGAUGGAUACUAGCUGUUUGGUAGUAAUAUUGAGUGGCUAAGCGAAAGUGAUAAGUAUCCCACCUGGGGAGUACGCACGCAAGUGUGAAACUCAAAGGAAUUGACGGGGGCCCGCACAAGCGGUGGAGCAUGUGGUUUAAUUCGAUGAUACGCGAGGAACCUUACCAAGGUUUAAAUGAGAAACGACGUAUCUAGAGAUAGAUAUUUCUUCGGACGUUUUUCAAGGUGCUGCAUGGUUGUCGUCAGCUCGUGCCGUGAGGUGUCAGGUUAAGUCCUAUAACGAGCGCAACCCCUGCGAAUAGUUGCCAUCAUUAAGUUGGGCACUCUAUUUGGACUGCCGGUGCAAACCGUGAGGAAGGUGGGGAUGACGUCAAAUCAUCACGGCCCUUACA
rnacentral:rRNA from 1 species